rnacentral:rRNA from 1 species
AUUGAACGCUGGCGGCAUGCUUUACACAUGCAAGUCGAACGGUAACAGGCCUUCGGGUGCUGACGAGUGGCGAACGGGUGAGUAAUGCAUCGGAACGUGCCCAAUCGUGGGGGAUAACGUAGCGAAAGUUACGCUAAUACCGCAUAAGCCCUGAGGGGGAAAGUGGGGGACCGCAAGGCCUCACGCGAAUGGAGCGGCCGAUGUCAGAUUAGCUAGUUGGUGGGGUAAAGGCCCACCAAGGCGACGAUCUGUAGCGGGUCUGAGAGGAUGAUCCGCCACACUGGGACUGAGACACGGCCCAGACUCCUACGGGAGGCAGCAGUGGGGAAUAUUGGACAAUGGGCGCAAGCCUGAUCCAGCCAUGCCGCGUGUGUGAGAAGGCCUCGGUUGUAAGNACUUUGUUGGGUAGAACGGUACGGACGUAA